AAUGAACGCUGGCGGCAGGCCUAAAACAUGCAAGUCGAACGCCUGUAGCAAUACAGGAGUGGCGCACGGGUGCGUAACACGUGGGAAUAUGCCUAUUGGUACGGAACAGCUCCGGGAAACUGGAAUUAAUACCGUAUGGUCCCUUCGGGGUAAAGAUUUAUCGCCAAUAGAUAGCCCGCGGUGGAUUAGCCAGUUGGUAGGGUAAUGGCCUACCAAGGCGACGAUCCAUAGCUGGUCUGAGAGGACGAUCAGCCACACUGGGACUGAGACACGGCCCAGACUCCUACGGGAGGCAGCAGUUAGGAAUAUUGGACAAUGGGCGCAAGCCUGAUCCAGCCAUGCCGCGUGAGUGAUGAAGGCCUUCGGGUUGUAAAACUCUUUAGCCGAUGAAUAUAAUGACUGUAGUCGGAAAAUAAGCCCCGGCUAACUUCGUGCCAGCAGCCGCAGUAA
rnacentral:rRNA from 1 species